CUACGGGAUGCAGCAGUCGAGAAUCUUUUGCAAUGGGCGAAAGCCUGACAAUGCGACGCCGCGUGAGCGAUGAAGGUCUUCGGAUCGUAAAGCUCUGUUGCAGGGGAUGAAAGUUCUUGAUACUAAUACUAUCAAGAACUGACAGUACCUUGAGAGGAAGCCACGGCUAACUCCGUGCCAGCAGCCGCGGUAAUACGGAGGUGGCAAGCGUUGUUCGGAUUGAUUGGGUGUAAAGGGUAUGUAGGCGUUCCGGUAAGUCGAAUGUGAAAGCCCGUAGCUUAACUACGGAAUUGCAUUCGAAACUGCCGGGAUGGAGUACGGAAGGGGAGAAUGGAAUUCCCGGUGUAAGGGUGAAAUCUGUAGAUAUCGGGAGGAACACCAGUAGCGAAGGCGAUUCUCUGGUCUGAUACUGACGCUGAAAUACGAAAGCUAAGGGAGUAAACAGGAUUAGAUACCCGCGUAGUC
rnacentral:rRNA from 1 species